CCAUGAUUGUAUAAUAUCAAGACUACAAUGGAUCUAUAGGGUAAGAUCCUUUAUCUACAGCGGAAUGGUAUACAAAGUCAACAGAUCUCAAUCAAAAAAAUAGGAUUUAUGGCUACACAAACCGCUGAGGGUAGUUCUAGAUCUGGUCCAAGACGAACUGUUGUAGGAGAUUUAUUGAAACCAUUGAAUUCAGAAUAUGGUAAAGUAGCUCCGGGGUGGGGAACUACCCCUUUGAUGGGGAUUGCAAUGGCCCUUUUUGCGGUAUUUCUCUCUAUUAUUUUAGAGAUUUAUAAUUCGUCCCUUUUACUGGACCAAAUUUCUAUGAAUUAGAGAAUUCGAUUCACAAGAACCAACUAACUAGCUUUUCAAUAGAAAAGUAAAGUUUGCCAUUUAGAUCGUUCCUUUUUAGCCCAUUCCAUUUUGAUUUAUUUGGUAGUUCGACCGCGAAACUUCUUUGUUUCUGUAUUUCCGGAAUAUGAGUGUGUGACUUGUUAUAAUGGAUCCUAUUGAUAGAUCAAGACUACAAUGGAUCUAUAGGGUAAGAUCCUUUAUCUACAGCGGAAUGGUAUACAAAGUCAACAGAUCUCAAUCAAAAAAAUAGGAUUUAUGGCUACACAAACCGUUGAGGGUAGUUCUAGAUCUAGUCCAAGACGAACUGUUGUAGGAGAUUUAUUGAAACCAUUGAAUUCAGAAUAUGGUAAAGUAGCUCCGGGGUGGGGAACUACCCCUUUGAUGGGGAUUGCAAUGGCCCUAUUUGCGGUAUUUCUCUCUUUUAUUUUAGAGAUUUAUAAUUCGUCCCUUUUACUGGACCAAAUUUCUAUGAAUUAGAGAAUUCGAUUCACAAGAACCAACUAACUAGCUUUUCAAUAGAAAAGUAAAGUUUACCAUUUAGAUCGUUCCUUUUAGCCCAUUCCAUUUUGAUUUAUUUGGUAGUUCGACCGCGAAACUUCUUUGUUUCUGUAUUUCCGGAAUAU
rnacentral:lncRNA from 1 species